GGUGAACGCUAGCGGUGCGCCUAACACAUGCAAGUCGAGCGGGAGUAAAUCAAAAGCUUGCUUUUGAUUUAUGAGAGCGGCGAACGGGUGAGUAACACGUUGGUAUCUGCCCCCAAGUCAGGGAUAGCCUAGGGAAACCUGGAUUAAUACCGGAUAGUCUCUUUGGAGUAAAAAUUUAUUGCUUGGGGAGGAGCCUGCGUUCUAUCAGCUAGUUGGUGAGGUAAAGGCUUACCAAGGCUAUGACGGAUAACUGGUCUGAGAGGAUGAUCAGUCACAAUGGAACUGAGACACGGUCCAUACUCCUACGGGAGGCAGCAGUGAGGAAUCUUCCACAAUGGACGAAAGUCUGAUGGAGCGACACCGCGUGAAGGAUGAAGGCCUAACGGUUGUAAACUUCUUUUCUGAAGGAGCAUAAUGAGAGUACUUUAGGAAUAAGGGACGGCUAAAUAUGUGCCAGCAGCCGCGGUAAUACAUAUGUCUCAAGCGUUACCCGGAAUCACUGGGUGUAAAGGGUUUGUAGGUUGGUUUUUAAGUCAGGUAUGAAAGACCGGAGCUCAACUCCGAGUUUGUAUUUGAAACUGGAAACCUAGAAUCAGGGAGAGGUAAGCGGAAUUCUAAGUGUAGGGGUGCAAUCCGUAGAUACUUAGAGGAACACCAAAAGCGAAGGCAGCUUACUGGAACUGUAUUGACGCUGAAAAACGAAAGCGUGGGGAGCGAAAAGGAUUAGAUACCCUUGUAGUCCACGCCCUAAACGAUGACAACUAAGUGUUGCGACUAGCUCGCAGUGCUGUAGCUAACGCGUUAAGUUGUCCACCUGAGGAGUACGGUCGCAAGAUUAAAACUCAAAGGAAUAGACGGGGACCCACACAAGCAGUGGAUCACGUGGUUUAAUUCGAUAAUAAACGGGGAACCUUACCCAGACUUGACAUCCUAAGAAUACUUUAGAGAUAGAGUAGUGCUCGAAAGAGAGCUUAGAGACAGGUGCUGCAUGGUUGUCGUCAGCUCGUGCCUUGAGGUGUUCGGUUAAGUCCGUUAACGAGCGCAACCCAUGUUCUUAGUUAUUAUGUCUAAGAAGACUGCCCUGGUUAACAGGGAGGAAGGUGUGGAUGACGUCAAAUCAGCAUGGCUUUUACGUCUGGGGCUACACACAUGAUACAAUGGUGUAUACAAAGAGUAGUAAAAUCGCGAGAUGGAACCAAUCUUUAAAAUACAUCUCAGUCCGGAUUGGAGUCUGCAACUCGACUCCAUGAAGUUGGAAUUGCUAGUAAUCGUAAAUCAGCAUGCUACGGUGAAUACGUUCCCGGGUCU
rnacentral:rRNA from 1 species